GUACACGCUGUGACUAGCAUAUCAAUAAGCGGAGGAAAAGAAACUAACAAGGAUUCCCUUAGUAACGGCGAGUGAAGCGGGAAGAGCUCAAAUUUGAAAUCUUGCAAGGUUUACCUUUACGAAUUGUAGUUUAAAGAAGUGCUUUCUGCUUACGAUUUGGUAAUAAGUUCUUUGGAAUAGGACAUCAUAGAGGGUGAGAAUCCCGUAUAUUGACUUGCGAUUUGUCAGCUUUGUGAUACACUUUCAAAGAGUCGGAUUGUUUGGGAAUGCAGUCCAAAAUGGGUGGUAAAUUUCAUCUAAAGCUAAAUAUUGGCGAGAGACCGAUAGCGAACAAGUACCGUGAGGGAAAGAUGAAAAGAACUUUGAAAAGAGAGUUAAACAGUACGUGAAAUUGUCAAAAGGGAAGCGUUUGACACCAGUGUUGUUUUCUCGAAAAUCAAUUAAAAAUGGCUCGAUUUUGUAUUGCUGAGACCUUAAAAGCUCACUGUACAUUUUUCGUGUCUUUUUUAAUGCACUUUUCGUUUAACAAGUCAACAUCAGUUUCUUUUGUUGUAAAAGGGUCAUUGGAAGGUGGCUUUCUUUUCGGAGAAAGUGUUUAUAGCCUUUGGCCUCUGCAAUCGGAGAGACUGAGGUCUGCAGCGUAGACUCUUCGGGGUUAGAUACAUUUGUGCUAAGUUAUAGCUUUUUAUAGACAACUUGUUGACUAUAAUUAGUCUUGUAGCUUACUCGCUUAUGCUAUUUUACCUACGCUUAGGAUGUUGACACACGCGCGUGCUCGACUCUAUACAUGACUCUGUGCAUAUCAAUAAGCGGAGGAAAGGAUGUGAUACCUACGCUUAGGAUGUUGACACACGCGCGUGCUCGACUCUAUACAUGACUCUGUGCAUAUCAAUAAGCGGAGGAAAAGAAACUAACAAGGAUUCCCUUAGUAACGGCGAGUGAAGCGGGAAGAGCUCAAAUUUGAAAUCUUCAAGGUUUUACCUUGACGAAUUGUAGUUUAAAGAAGUGUUUUCUGCUGAAGUUUUGGUAAAAGUUCUUUGGAAUAGGACAUCAUAGAGGGUGAGAAUCCCGUAUUUGACCAUUAUUUUCAGCUUUGUGAUACACUUUCAAGGAGUCGGGAUUGUUUGGGAAUGCAGUCCCAAAAUGGGAGGUAAAUUUCAUCUAAGGCUAAAUAUUGGCGAGAGACCGAUAGCGAACAAGUACCGUGAGGGAAAGAUGAAAAGAACUUUGAAAAGAGAGUUAAACUAGUACGUGAAAUUGUCAAAAGGGAAGCGUUUAACACCAGUGUUGUUUUCUCGAAAAUCAAUUAAAAAUGGCUCGAUUUUGUAUUGCUGAGACCUUAAAAGCUCACUGUACAUUUUUCGUGUCUUUUUUAAUGCACUUUUCGUUUAACAAGUCAACAUCAGUUUCUUUUGUUGUAAAAGGGUCAUUGGAAGGUGGCUUUCUUUUCGGAGAAAGUGUUUAUAGCCUUUGAUCUCUAGCAAUCGGAGAGAUUGAGGUCUGCAGCGUAGACUCCUUCGGGGUUAGAUACAUUCUGUGCUAAGUUAUAGCCUAUAUAGACAACUUGUUGACUAUAAUUCGAUCAUGUAGCUUACUCGCUUACUGCUAUUUUACCUACGCUUAGGAUGUUGAGUAGCGACAUACGCAC
rnacentral:rRNA from 1 species